UGGGAUAUAGCUCAGUUGGUAGAGUGCUUGUCUUUCAUGCACAAGAACCUGGGUUCAAUCCCCAGCACCACAA
rnacentral:tRNA from 1 species